GGUUAAGUUAGAAAGGGCGCACGGUGGAUGCCUUGACACUAGGAGUCGAUGAAGGACGGGACUAACGCCGAUAUGCUUCGGGGAGCUGUAAGUAAGCUUUGAUCCGAAGAUUUCCGAAUGGGGAAACCCACCAUACGUAAUGGUAUGGUAUCCUUAUCUGAAUACAUAGGGUAAGGAAGACAGACCCAGGGAACUGAAACAUCUAAGUACCUGGAGGAAGAGAAAGCAAAUGCGAUUUCCUGAGUAGCGGCGAGCGAAACGGAACAUAGCCCAAACCAAGAGGCUUGCCUCUUGGGGUUGUAGGACAUUCUAUACGGAGUUACAAAGGAACGAGGUAGACGAAGCGACCUGGAAAGGUCCGUCGUAGAGGGUAACAACCCCGUAGUCGAAACUUCGUUCUCUCUUGAAUGUAUCCUGAGUACGGCGGAACACGUGAAAUUCCGUCGGAAUCUGGGAGGACCAUCUCCCAAGGCUAAAUACUCCCUAGUGAUCGAUAGUGAACCAGUACCGUGAGGGAAAGGUGAAAAGCACCCCGGAAGGGGAGUGAAAGAGAUCCUGAAACCGUGUGCCUACAAAUAGUCAGAGCCCGUUAACGGGUGAUGGCGUGCCUUUUGUAGAAUGAACCGGCGAGUUACGAUCCCGUGCGAGGUUAAGCUGAAGAGGCGGAGCCGCAGCGAAAGCGAGUCUGAAUAGGGCGUUUAGUACGUGGUCGUAGACCCGAAACCAGGUGAUCUACCCAUGUCCAGGGUGAAGUUCAGGUAACACUGAAUGGAGGCCCGAACCCACGCACGUUGAAAAGUGCGGGGAUGAGGUGUGGGUAGCGGAGAAAUUCCAAUCGAACCUGGAGAUAGCUGGUUCUCCCCGAAAUAGCUUUAGGGCUAGCCUUAAGUGUAAGAGUCUUGGAGGUAGAGCACUGAUUGGACUAGGGGUCCUCAUCGGAUUACCGAAUUCAGUCAAACUCCGAAUGCCAAUGACUUAUCCUUAGGAGUCAGACUGCGAGUGAUAAGAUCCGUAGUCAAAAGGGAAACAGCCCAGACCGCCAGCUAAGGUCCCAAAGUGUGUAUUAAGUGGAAAAGGAUGUGGAGUUGCUUAGACAACUAGGAUGUUGGCUUAGAAGCAGCCACCAUUUAAAGAGUGCGUAAUAGCUCACUAGUCGAGUGACUCUGCGCCGAAAAUGUACCGGGGCUAAAUACACCACCGAAGCUGCGGAUUGAUACCGAAUGGUAUCAGUGGUAGGGGAGCGUUCUAAGGACAGUGAAGUCAGACCGUAAGGACUGGUGGAGUGCUUAGAAGUGAGAAUGCCGGUAUGAGUAGCGAAAGACGGGUGAGAAUCCCGUCCACCGAAUGCCUAAGGUUUCCUGAGGAAGGCUCGUCCGCUCAGGGUUAGUCAGGACCUAAGCCGAGGCCGACAGGCGUAGGCGAUGGACAACAGGUUGAUAUUCCUGUACCACCUCUUUAUCGUUUGAGCAAUGGAGGGACGCAGAAGGAUAGAAGAAGCGUGCGAUUGGUUGUGCACGUCCAAGCAGUUAGGCUGAUAAGUAGGCAAAUCCGCUUAUCAUAAAGGCUGAGCUGUGAUGGGGAAGCUCCUUAUGGAGCGAAGUCUUUGAUUCCCCGCUGCCAAGAAAAGCUUCUAGCGAGAUAAAAGGUGCCUGUACCGCAAACCGACACAGGUAGGCGAGGAGAGAAUCCUAAGGUGUGCGAGAGAACUCUGGUUAAGGAACUCGGCAAAAUGACCCCGUAACUUCGGGAGAAGGGGUGCUUUCUUAACGGAAAGCCGCAGUGAAUAGGCCCAAGCGACUGUUUAGCAAAAACACAGCUCUCUGCGAAGCCGUAAGGCGAAGUAUAGGGGGUGACACCUGCCCGGUGCUGGAAGGUUAAGGAGAGGGGUUAGCGUAAGCGAAGCUCUGAACUGAAGCCCCAGUAAACGGCGGCCGUAACUAUAACGGUCCUAAGGUAGCGAAAUUCCUUGUCGGGUAAGUUCCGACCCGCACGAAAGGUGUAACGAUUUGGGCACUGUCUCAACCAGAGACUCGGUGAAAUUAUAGUACCUGUGAAGAUGCAGGUUACCCGCGACAGGACGGAAAGACCCCGUGGAGCUUUACUGUAGCCUGAUAUUGAAUUUUGGUACAGUUUGUACAGGAUAGGCGGGAGCCAUUGAAACCGGAGCGCUAGCUUCGGUGGAGGCGCUGGUGGGAUACCGCCCUGACUGUAUUGAAAUUCUAACCUACGGGUCUUAUCGACCCGGGAGACAGUGUCAGGUGGGCAGUUUGACUGGGGCGGUCGCCUCCUAAAGUGUAACGGAGGCGCCCAAAGGUUCCCUCAGAAUGGUUGGAAAUCAUUCGUAGAGUGCAAAGGCAUAAGGGAGCUUGACUGCGAGACCUACAAGUCGAGCAGGGACGAAAGUCGGGCUUAGUGAUCCGGUGGUUCCGCAUGGAAGGGCCAUCGCUCAACGGAUAAAAGCUACCCCGGGGAUAACAGGCUUAUCUCCCCCAAGAGUCCACAUCGACGGGGAGGUUUGGCACCUCGAUGUCGGCUCAUCGCAUCCUGGGGCUGUAGUCGGUCCCAAGGGUUGGGCUGUUCGCCCAUUAAAGCGGUACGCGAGCUGGGUUCAGAACGUCGUGAGACAGUUCGGUCCCUAUCCGUCGUGGGCGUAGGAAAUUUGAGAGGAGCUGUCCUUAGUACGAGAGGACCGGGAUGGACGCACCGCUGGUGUACCAGUUGUUCUGCCAAGGGCAUAGCUGGGUAGCUAUGUGCGGAAGGGAUAAGUGCUGAAAGCAUCUAAGCAUGAAGCCCCCCUCAAGAUGAGAUUUCCCAUAGCGUAAGCUAGUAAGAUCCCUGAAAGAUGAUCAGGUUGAUAGGUUCGAGGUGGAAGCAUGGUGACAUGUGGAGCUGACGAAUACUAAUAGAUCGAGGACUUAACCAU
rnacentral:rRNA from 5 species